rnacentral:rRNA from 1 species
AGUCGAACGAACUCUGGUAUUGAUUGGUGCUUGCAUCAUGAUUUACAUUUGAGUGAGUGGCGAACUGGUGAGUAACACGUGGGAAACCUGCCCAGAAGCGGGGGAUAACACCUGGAAACAGAUGCUAAUACCGCAUAACAACUUGGACCGCAUGGUCCGAGUUUGAAAGAUGGCUUCGGCUAUCACUUUUGGAUGGUCCCGCGGCGUAUUAGCUAGAUGGUGGGGUAACGGCUCACCAUGGCAAUGAUACGUAGCCGACCUGAGAGGGUAAUCGGCCACAUUGGGACUGAGACACGGCCCAAACUCCUACGGGAGGCAGCAGUAGGGAAUCUUCCACAAUGGACGAAAGUCUGAUGGAGCAACGCCGCGUGAGUGAAGAAGGGUUUCGGCUCGUAAAACUCUGUUGUUAAAGAAGAACAUAUCUGAGAGUAACUGUUCAGGUAUUGACGGUAUUUAACCAGAAAGCCACGGCUAACUACGUGCCAGCAGCCGCGGUAAUACGUAGGUGGCAAGCGUUGUCCGGAUUUAUUGGGCGUAAAGCGAGCGCAGGCGGUUUUUUAAGUCUGAUGUGAAAGCCUUCGGCUCAACCGAAGAAGUGCAUCGGAAACUGGGAAACUUGAGUGCAGAAGAGGACAGUGGAACUCCAUGUGUAGCGGUGAAAUGCGUAGAUAUAUGGAAGAACACCAGUGGCGAAGGCGGCUGUCUGGUCUGUAACUGACGCUGAGGCUCGAAAGUAUGGGUAGCAAACAGGAUUAGAUACCCUGGUAGUCCAUACCGUAAACGAUGAAUGCUAAGUGUUGGAGGGUUUCCGCCCUUCAGUGCUGCAGC